rnacentral:rRNA from 1 species
GUGGGAGGCGUUGAAUUUAUUCUUGCGGGAAUUUAGGAGCCAUCAGUGAGAUACCACUCUGGUAAUGUUAGAUUUCUAACUUUGUAUCAUAAUCUGGUCAAAGGACAGUUUCAGGCGGGCAGUUUGACUGGGGCGGUCGCCUCCUAAAUGGUAACGGAGGCGUACAAAGGUUUCCUCUGAACGUGUAGAAAUCGUAUCUAGAGUAUAAAGGCAUAAGGAAGCUUGACUGUGAGACUUACAAGUCGAGCAGGGACGAAAGUCGGUCUUAGUGAUCUGACGGUGCUGAGUGGAAAGGCCGUCACUCAACGGAUAAAAGUUA